UGGUCAGAAGCUGUUUAUGAGUUAGUUAUAUAAAUUCAUGCCUUAAAUUUUCAACUCUUGAAAAUAUGAAUUGACAUUCCUACUAACUCAAAGGAUGUAUCACAGACACAAUGUACACAAUGUGAUAGAAGAAUAACCCAUUUGUUGAUUUAUAGUCAAAAUUAUAAAUUUGCCCUUAGAGUUGUACAGAAAUAUGUCAGCCAAUCUAGCAUCUAAGGCACACAUCUAACACUAUUCCUACAGUGGACUAACUGUCACCAACAUCCACUACAAGGUCUUAUUGAGACCUAUGUUUAUGUGUCAAUCAAACUCUAGCAGCCUCACUGUGAGUAAUAGUACUAUCUCAGAUCAAAAGAUCAGUCAUACAACUACAGGAUCGAGAAAGUCACUAAUAAAUGAGCAGACAUCCAUGUGACUUCUCGUGUUGGUCAUACUCAAUGCUGGUUGUUCUUUAGCAACCACCUGUACUCUCGCUCCAGUGUCACUACACCACAGAUUUGAGAUUCAUCUAUCCAAAAGAAGUGAUCCGUGCACUAGUCUAUCCAGAUCAAUCACCAUCCCCAUGAUGAUCCUAUGACCAAGAGUAAUUUAACCUUCAAUGACACAUGUCUCAAAUUCUCAACUCUUUGAGAAUAUGUGUCACCAUCUUGUUAAUCCCUUGGAUGAUUCAUGGAUACAUAAAAUAUGAAUGGUAAUAUAAAUAUCAAUAAAGUAUAAAAUUAUGUCCUAAAAAUAUGAUAUGCAUCAGUCGAGAUUGACUUCUAGGGCAUACAUCCAACAAUUUUUCACUUGCACUAAAGCCAAUCUGUCAUGUACCAAGCCCCGUCUUCACAAGACAAGCUUUAGUCUCUGGCUAACCAAGUGACUUACCAAUGGGUUAUCCACAUCUUAUGUAGAGUUUGCUUUCUGUACCUCUAUGUAUUUCUACUUGAGGUAGAUGCNNNNNNNNNNNNNNNNNNNNCUGAUGGUAUUACAUCCAGUUCUACAACUAAUAUUAGAACCAGAAUACAUCCUACACAUCUAUCGUAUACUCAACUUCCAUCGAUCGAUUGCUUGAAACCCUUCCAAGAUAUCAAUUGAAAGAAUAAUGCCAUACAAGCCAAUCGCAUAUGGGAUGCAAUAAGAUGUUUAUUAUAAUUUAUCUUCCAAACUCAUAUAAUUGAUAAUUAUUAUUAAUAAAAUAGAUAUUUUUGAUUCAUUAUAUGCUACAUCUUAUUAAUUUUAAGAUUAUAAUGAAUCCCAUAGGUCUGGACAAUAUUUUUAGGGCCGUGAUGAGAUCACGCCAGUGAGACCUAAUUCUUUGGUAGUCCUGAUCUAAAAUAUUCUUAGUCAUUGGUACAUUGAAUCAAGGAUCAAUUAUACCGGUAAGACUGGCAUGUCCAAUAUAUGCUCAGAAAUGAGGAUGGUUGAUCUCACAACUACUUGUGUGGUGACACUAAUAUAAGGAUAUGGGUACUCAUUAGAGAAUGAGUUCAUUGAAUUAACCUAUGAGAGAAUAUCAGAUGGAGUCUUAUUUACAUAUCAACUGAUAUUUCUCUAAUGAGACUUGUGUAUGUGAUUCUUAGACCUGAGGUCACUAUGGUACCUUAUGUAUUUCGAUCCAUAUUUUGGUUCACUACCUAACUUGCUUCUCUGAUCCUUAUGUGGAGUGUUCUGGAUAUGGUGAAGAGUGCAUGGAGAUUGGAGUGAUCAAUAAAAGAUCAAUCACUCCUAAUAAGGAGAGCGAACAUCCUAUGUGAUGUCAUAGGUCGAUGAUUCUGGAGGUCUUUGGCCAAAGCAGGAUGAUAAUUAGNN
rnacentral:lncRNA from 1 species